rnacentral:misc_RNA from 1 species
UGUAAGAGUGAGCCUGCUCGCGAUUGCGGUGUGUCAGGCACAAAGUUUCAACUGACACACCGCAAUCGCGAGCAGGCUCACUCCUACA